CUAGCCGUAAACGAUGGGUACUAGGUGUAGGAGGUUUCGAUACCUUCUGUGCCGCAGUUAACGCAAUAAGUACCCCGCCUGGGGAGUACGUGCGCAAGCAUGAAACUCAAAGGAAUUGACGGGGGCCCGCACAAGCGGUGGAGCAUGUGGUUUAAUUCGAGGCAACGCGAAGAACCUUACCCGGGUUUGACAUCCGUAGAAUCCUUCAGAGAUGAGGGAGUGCCGGUUUACCGGAGCUACGAGACAGGUGC
rnacentral:rRNA from 1 species